AUUGAACGCUGGCGGAAUGCUUUACACAUGCAAGUCGAACGGCAGCACGGACUUCGGUCUGGUGGCGAGUGGCGAACGGGUGAGUAAUGUAUCGGAACGUGCCCAGUCGUGGGGGAUAACGUAGUGAAAAUUACGCUAAUACCGCAUACGAUCUAUGGAUGAAAGCGGGGGAUCGCAGGACCUCGCGCGCUUGGAGCGGCCGAUAUCAGAUUAGGUAGUUGGUGGGGUAAAGGCCCACCAAGCCAACGAUCUGUAGCUGGUCUGAGAGGACGACCAGCCACACUGGAACUGAGACACGGUCAGACUCCUACGGGAGGCAGCAGUGGGGAAUUUUGGACAAUGGGCGAAAGCCUGAUCCAGCCAUUCCGCGUGCAGGAUGAAGGCCCUCGGGUUGUAAACUGCUUUUGUACAGAACGAAAAGGUUUCUACUAAUACUAGGAGCUCAUGACGGUACUGUAAGAAUAAGCACCGGCUAACUACGUGCCAGCAGCCGCGGUAA
rnacentral:rRNA from 1 species